UGAAAGAGAACAUAGAGAGUUCAGUGCAAAUCUAUUGCCGUUACCAGACAGUAAUUCAACAGCUUCAUCUUUGAACCAUUAGGUUGGCCUGAUCACUCACUCACCACUCCCUGCAACUCCAUGGAGAAGAUAUAAGCUGUCAAAAAUGUAUUUGUGAGUCUGAUGAGCUCUUUCACCCAGGUGACAGGGGUUUCUGCCAUAUUAAUAUUCUUCUUCUUCUCCACCUUUUGUGUUUCAAUGCUGGGCCUGGAGAAGGCAGGGACCUUGGCUCUUCCACGGUGGCUGUUCAUCAGCACUCACACAUCCACCACACCGGUUUAGUCGCACGCUGGAAGGUAAAUGUGUACCAUGGAAGAUAUCGGGCUGUUUUUGUAGCAUCUGGAUUGCCACUGCCCCCUCCCCUCCACUACCCCAAGUCCUCUUUUCUCCUCUUUGGAGAAGACACAGUUCAGGCUAAGAGCUCAUGUUUGAGGCCUCGCUGAGUUGCUGUUUGAUAUUGUUCUUGCUUCUUACCACAUUGGUGGCAUUGAAUGUCCUUAUUGAUUUUUGCCUGAUUGGUCUAACUUAGAACAGGAUCAGCUUCAUAAAUGGGACAUCUUGUGGGCUGAAAUAUGAGAUUUGUUUUAACAAACCACUCCUAACCAUCAUCUCUUUAAGGGAAGCCAGGAAAGGCAAUUGCUGAAUUUCUUCUUGGCCUUCUCUCUGGUUAUCCCUCUCACUCCUCCUACUUUUCCUUUUCUCUUUCAGGCUGCUUUCUCCUACUAGUUACAAAACAAACAAAAAACAAACAAACAAAAAAAACAAAACAAAACAAAAACUAAACUAAACCAAAAACAAUAAAUGCC
rnacentral:lncRNA from 1 species